rnacentral:rRNA from 1 species
UCGGGAAUAUUGCGCAAUGGAGGAAACUCUGACGCAGUGACGCCGCGUGCAGGAAGAAGGUUUUCGGAUUGUAAACUGCUUUAGACAGGGAAGAAAAAGGACAGUACCUGUAGAAUAAGCUCCGGCUAACUACGUGCCAGCAGCCGCGGUAAUACGUAGGGAGCAAGCGUUAUCCGGAUUUAUUGGGUGUAAAGGGUGCGUAGACGGGAAUGCAAGUUGGUUGUGAAAUCCCUCGGCUCAACUGAGGAAUUGCAACCAAACUACAUUUCUUGAGUGCUGGAGAGGAAAGUGGAAUUCCUAGUGUAGCGGUGAAAUGCGUAGAUAUUAGGAGGAACACCAGUGGCGAAGGCGACUUUCUGGACAGUAACUGACGUUGAGGCACGAAAGUGUGGGGAGCAAACAGGAUUAGAUACC